rnacentral:misc_RNA from 1 species
GAUGACAACUCAAGUUUUGGUGUAGCAGCCCCAAUUUUGAAGUCAUUUAUGCAGGUUGGCAGCAGGUUUGGAGAGAGCACCCUAAAGUUGGGAUCCAUAUUAACUGAUGGGCAAGUAGGGAUAUUCAAAGAUCGAUCAGCAGCUGCCAUGUCAACAUUUGGUGAUAUUUUACCUGCCCAAGCUGCGGGUCUUCUUUCAUCCUUUACAGCUACCAGAUCAGACUCUUGAUUUCCACUGAAUUCUUCUGUCCUCUUCUUUUCUUUAAUUAAUUAGUUGCACACUUUGUUCCAGUGAAGAGCACUAAGAAAUUCCCCAAAUAUAGGGAGGUUAUGAUACCGAAAGUUCGUACUUCACCCAAGUGGAAUGGUUAUAAAUAUAGUAUGUAGAUAGGCAGUGAGAAGAUUCCAAGGCAAAGUGAGCAGGGGGAUUGGAACUGUUAGAGAAAUGGUUAUACCUCAAGAUAAAUGGAAAAAAGGAAUUUUUAAAGGGAAUAAAUGGGAAUCAAAAGAAGCAAUUACAUUUCUGAAUCUAUAUUCUAUAGAGGCAUGAAAGUAGUGUAGUAUCAGUAUGUGAGGUUUGUAUCUUGGAGUUCUCCUGUAUAUAGAAACUGUUGCCUUUACCAAUAUAGCACGAAGAUGGAAAAGCUAUUUGGAGUGAAGUUUUAUGUAGUCUGAGGU